rnacentral:rRNA from 1 species
CGCGUAGGCGGGGAUGUAAGUCGGGCGUGAAAUCCCCAGGCUCAACCUGGGAACUGCACUCGAAACUGCGUUUCUUGAGUAUCGGAGAGGAAAGCGGAAUUCCUGGUGUAGAGGUGAAAUUCGUAGAUAUCAGGAGGAACACCAGUGGCGAAGGCGGCUUUCUGGACGGUAACUGACGCUGAGGCGCGAAAGCGUGGGGAGCAAACA